AUUGCUUCUCAGCCUUUUAACUAAGAUCAAGUGUAGCAUCUGUUCUUAUCAGUUUAAUAUCUGAUAUGUCCUCUAUCCAAGGACAAUAUAUUAAGUGGAUUUUUGAGCAGGGAGAUGGAAUAGGAGCUUGCUCUGUCCACUCCACACAUUGACCCGGUAUUGCAGCACCUCUGGAAAUGGUGCAGGGAAA